rnacentral:rRNA from 1 species
ACCCGCUGAACUUAAGCAUAUCAAUAAGCGGAGGAAAAGAAACUAACAAGGAUUCCCCUAGUAACUGCGAGUGAAGCGGGAAGAGCUCAAAUUUGUAAUCGCYUCGGCGAGUUGUAAACUAGAGAAGCGUUAUCAGGCCCCGACCGCGCUAAAGUCCCUUGGAACAGGGUGUCAUAGAGGGUGAGAAUCCCGUGCUUGGCGUGGCUGCGGGGCUGYAGAGGCGCUCUCGACGAGUCGAGUUGUUUGGGAAUGCAGCUCAAAAYGGGUGGUAAACUCCAUCUAAAGCUAAAUAGUGGCGAGAGACCGAUAGCGAACAAGUACCGUGAGGGAAAGAUGAAAAGGACUUUGGAAAGAGAGUUAAACAGUACGUGAAAUUGCUGAAAGGGAAGCGCUUGGAGUAAGUCGCGUGUGCAGGAAUCAGCUCGCGCAUUUCCUGCBCACGGGCCAGCAUCGACCUCGGGCGGCGGAGAAGGGCUGGAGGAAUGUGGCAUCUUCGGGUGUGUUAUAGCCUCCUGCCGUACACGUCGCGCGGGGUCGAGGACCGCGGCUCUGCCUAGGAUGCUGGCGUAAUGGCUUCAAGCGACCCGUCUUGAAACACGGACCAAGGAGUCUAACAUGCGUGCGAGUGUUUGGGUGKBAAACCCAGGCGCGUAAUGAAAGUGAACGGAGGUGGGAGCUUCGGCGCACCAUCGACCGGUCCGGAACUUCUGGGAUGGAUCUGAGUAAGAGCAUGUAUGUUGGGACCCGAAAGAUGGUGAACUAUGCCUGAAUAGGGCGAAGCCAGAGGAAACUCUGGUGGAGGCUCGUAGCGAUUCUGACGUGCAAAUCGAUCGUCAAAUUUGGGUAUAGG